rnacentral:ncRNA from 1 species
AUAGCGGAUAGUACCGUGAGGGAAUGGUGAAAAGUACCCCGGGAGGGGAGUGAAAUAGUACCUGAAACCGUGUGCCUACAAGCCGUGGGAGCGUCGGAAGCACUUCGGUGCUUCUCGUGACUGCGUGCCUUUUGAAGAAUGAGCCUGCGAGUUUGCGGUGUGUUGCGAGGUUAACCCGGGUGGGGAAGCCGUAGCGAAAGCGAGUCCGAA